rnacentral:rRNA from 1 species
UACGUAGGGUGCAAGCGUUGUCCGGAAUUAUUGGGCGUAAAGAGCUCGUAGGCGGUUUGUCACGUCGGAUGUGAAAACUCGAGGCUCAACCUCGAGAGGUCGGUGGAAACCGUUUGGCUAGAGUCCGGAAGAGGAGAGUGGAAUUCCCGGUGUAGCGGUGAAAUGCGCAGAUAUCGGGAAGAACACCCGUGGCGAAGGCGGCUCUCUGGGACGGUACUGACGCUGAGACGCGAAAGCGUGGGGAGCGAACAGG